rnacentral:rRNA from 1 species
CUACGGGACGCUCCAGUGAGGAAUAUUGCACAAUGGGGGGAACCCUGAUGCAGCAACGCCGCGUGGAGGAUGACGCAUUUCGGUGUGUAAACUCCUUUUAUAUGUCAAGAAAAUGACGGUAGCAUAUGAAUAAGCACCGGCUAACUCCGUGCCAGCAGCCGCGGUAAUACGGAGGGUGCAAGCGUUACUCGGAAUCACUGGGCGUAAAGGACGCGUAGGCGGGCUUGUAAGUCAGGUGUGAAAUCCUACAGCUUAACUGUAGAACUGCACUUGAAACUACGAGCCUAGAGUAUGGGAGGGGCAGAUGGAAUUAGUGGUGUAGGGGUAAAAUCCGUAGAUAUCACUAGGAAUACCUAAAGCGAAGGCGAUCUGCUGGAACAUAACUGACGCUAAGGCGUGAAAGCGUGGGGAGCAAACAGGAUUAGAUACCCUAGUAGUC